UGAAAACCCCCUAUCCUCUCCCC
rnacentral:piRNA from 1 species